rnacentral:rRNA from 1 species
CCUACGGGAGGCGGCAGUCGAGAAUUAUUCACAAUGGGGGAAACCCUGAUGGUGCGACGCCGCGUGGGGGAAUGAAGGUCUUCGGAUUGUAAACCCCUGUCUUGUGGGCGCAAAUUCAAAAGAUAGUACCACAAGAGGAAGAGACGGCUAACUCUGUGACAGCAGCCGCGGUACUACAGAGGUCUCAAGCGUUGUCCGGAACGACUGGGCGUAAAGCGUGUGUAGGCUGUUUCGUAAGUCGUGUGUGAAAUGCGCGGGCUCAACCCGCGGACGGCACAUGAUACUGCGAGACUAGAGUAAUGGAGAGGGAGCCGGAAUUCUCGGUGUAGCAGUGAAAUGCGUAGAUAUCGAGAGGAACACUCGUGGCGAAGGCGGGUUCCUGGACAUUAACUGACGCUGAGGCACGAAGGCCAGGGGAGCGAAAGGGAUUAGAUACCCCGGUAGUC